UACAGAGGUCUCAAGCGUUGUUCGGAUUCAUUGGGCGUAAAGGGCGCGUAGGCUGCGGGGCAAGUCGGGUGUGAAAUCUCAGAGCUCAACUCUGAAACUGCACUCGAUACUGCUUUGCUUGAGGACUGGAGAGGAGAUUGGAAUUCACGGUGUAGCAGUGAAAUUCGUAGAUAUUCGCAAGAACACCAGUGGCGAAGGCGGCUCACUGGCCCGAUACUGACGCUGAGGCACGAAAGCGUGGGGAGCAAACAGG
rnacentral:rRNA from 1 species